rnacentral:rRNA from 1 species
GUGGGGAAUCUUCCGCAAUGGACGAAAGUCUGACGGAGCGACGCCGCGUGAGUGAAGAAGGCCUUCGGGUCGUAAAGCUCUGUCAUCAGGGACGAACGGCCGGUGGAGUGAAAAGCCACCGGAUUGACGGUACCUGAGAAGGAAGCCACGGCUAACUACGUGCCAGCAGCCGCGGUAAUACGGAGGUGGCAAGCGUUGUCCGGAAUUAUUGGGCGUAAAGCGCGCGCAGGUGGGAUCUUAAGUCCAUUUUUAAAGUUCGGAGCUCAACUCCGUGAUGGGAUGGAAACUGGGAUUCUUGAGUACCGGAGAGGAAAGCGGAAUUCCCCGUGUAGCGGUGAAAUGCGUAGAUAUGGGGAGGAACACCAGUGGCGAAGGCGGCUUUCUGGACGGUGUCUGACACUGAGGCGCGAAAGCCAGGGGAGCGAACGGGAUUAGAUACCCCUGUAGUCC